AAUCAACGCUGGCGGCGUGCCUCAGACAUGCAAGUCGAACGCGAAAUUUCCCUUCGGGGAGAAAGUAGAGUGGCGCACGGGUGAGUAACACGUAGGUAAUUUGCCUUUGGGUGGGGAAUAACUCAGGGAAACUUGAGCUAAUACCGCAUAAUGCAGCGGCUCGACAUCGAGACAGUUGUUAAAGCGGGGGAUUGGAGCAAUCCGACCUCGCGCCUAAAGAGAAGCCUGCGGCAGAUUAGCUAGUUGGUAAGGUAAUGGCUUACCAAGGCGACGAUCUGUAACCGGCCUGAGAGGGCGGUCGGUCACACUGACACUGACAUACGGGUCAGACUCCUACGGAGGCAGCAGUCGGGAAUUUUGGGCAAUGGGCGCAAGCCUGACCCAGCAACGCCGCGUGAAGGAUGAAAUUUUUCGGAAUGUAAACUUCGCAAGAACAGGAAGAAUAAGUGU
rnacentral:rRNA from 1 species